rnacentral:lncRNA from 1 species
CUGGCGCCGCCCUCUCACUCCUACGCAUACGCUCCAGGCCGCCUACACCGUAGCCAACACGGCCAUUGAAGAGGCUGACAGAACAGAUCUGAAAACAUCGAGUCGCCAUCAGGCACGCUGAACGUGCAGUGUCCUAUCAUAGGGCGCGACACAGGGGCAUCACCGUCAUUGGCAGAAGUACUGCACCGUGGAUCCACAGCGUUGUGUGCUCACCACGGCGCAGGCCGGUGAUAGGUGAUACCACAACGCUAACCAACGAGAGAUGUCUCAGGACUCAGGAUCGCAGAGGCGAGGGACGAGCGGGCACGUCCUGCGGUGCUUACCCACGGUCGGGGCCGUAGAAGGCCUCAUUGCUGGCCUUGCUCCACCAGCCAGCCUUCGCACUGCAAGGAGCAGAUGCGAGCACCCGAUUUCGUAGCCCGCCCUGUUGACACACGCGAAACCCUAUCCCCCAACACCUAACACUCUAGCUGGGCAGUUGCCCAAGCCCCCGCGUUCAGGCUGCAGCUGCUGAGCUGCUGCCCGUGUGCUGCCGGCGUGCCCAGCACCAUGGCCCACGGGAGCACACCCUGCGCUCCGUCCAGACUGGCGCCUCGGUGUCGCGCUUGCACUGCAGAGCAUUCAAACCUUCACAACCCGCGCAAGAAGGCCCAGCGGGGCCUUGAGCCGCGCGGUAAUCGCGACAUGUCGCGAUGUUCGUG